AUUCUCGCUGCCGGAAUGAAACCCCCAAGGAGAACGGGGCCCCCGUCCUGGCGUAUGAGAACCUGCCCCCGACAGCCUGGGUGGGGUCUGCGGCCAAGCCCAGGAGCCCCCUUGACCCCAGCCCCACAUACCAGACGCUGCAGCCCCGACAGCCGGACGUGUACGAGGAGCUGAAGAAGUGACGCCCCCUCCUGCCCCCCGUGCAUGCUGGGAGGGGCCCGGGGCAUGCUGGGAAAGGCGAGUCCCUGAGCCUGGGUCCUGCCGCCCCGGGGACGUCCCGUCGAUGAAGCAUUAGAGGGCAGGAACAGUCACCACCCGGCCCGGGGGGUCCGUCCGUCUGUCUGUCCAUGCUGCUUCCCUGGGACCCAUCACCGCAGCGUCUGGGCCCCUGCGAGGAGAUCAGAAAGUCGGCGCCUGUGACUGGCUCCAGCUCCAUUGUGCCCAGCCCAGGAUUUGGCUUGGUGACGUCUCACGACCAAACACCCCCAGGCUGGGCACGUGCCCUGUUCUCUGCCCGCCUGACCUGAGCCUGGCGCUCUGUGUCCCGCACCAGGCCGCGGGAGCUCCCCACUGCACGGAGGGGCCCGGGCGGCUGAGUGACUGGCCUGGGUCCCACGGGGAGUCUGUGGGGCUGCAGGGACUCGGACCUGGGACUCCCCAGUGCCUGGCUGGUGCCCAAACCAGGGCCGGGGUCCCUGCCCAGGGCUUCCCCCCGACCCUCCCCCCAGCGCCUGGCCCCGCGUCUUCCCCUCCCCGGGGCAGUUCUCCCCUGCAGAGCUGUGAGCAGCGAAUCCGACCCACCCGGCCGGGACCCGGGGUCCCUGGCGGAGGGCACAGGGCACCAGGGUCUCACGGGGCCCCCGGCUCUAACGUCUCCAGACCAGCCCCCAAAGGGGCUCGGGAGGUCCCUGCCCAGAGCCGGCAGCGCUGGGUGCGGUGACUGUGGUGAGCCGUGUGCCGGGGGCACGGCCGGAGCUGUGUCUGGCCUGAGUCCCAGCGGCUGGUUCCAGCCGGGCAGUGGGAGGCUCCAGGCCCGUCCCUGGCAGACAGGAGGCACCGGGCCGUUCUCUCUGUGCCUGACUCUGGGGGAGCUGAACCCCACAGGAGCUGCCAGGAGCGGGUUCGGGAUGUCGGGGCUCCGGGAAGCACAUUCCCAUUUUAUUCUCCAUGUCACCCAUUGUCCCAUUAACUCCAUAAGAACGGUGAUACUGGGUCAGACCAAAGGUCCAUCUAGCCCAGUGUCCUGUCUGCCGACAGUAGCCAAUGCCAGGUGCCCCCGAGGGAAUGAACAGACC